GAGACAACAUGGGUCCUUCUCGUAAGAAUGUGUUUCACAUUGUCUCUUUGCUCUGGUAAGUAUAGAUCAGUUGAAUCCCUUUCGGACAGAUGGAAAACAAGUUAGUGCUGAAAAUACACUUCAUCUUUCUUUAGUUUUGGUGUGUUUGUUUGAUAAAAUCUGAAAUCUGUGUGUUUUGUGUUUGUGUCUUAGGACCGUAUGGUUUGACAUGUGAUUUUGCCGUAAUCUCUCUAACUUUAAGAGAACCUAGAAUUAUUUUGCCGUAAGCAGAAUUCUAGCAGCAUCCUCUCUCCUCAAGCACAAGGCUUUUACUAUAGAGGUUAGUAUGAGAAAUUGCAGGUUUGGUUUAAGACUGAUCUAUCUAACUUUAAGAGAACCUAGACUUACCACUAUGAUGUUAUAUAGAAGUCAUGAUUUCUAGGCAUGGCCCAUAGAUUUGGUUGAAAGCUUGUAUUACUCAAGUAGUUCUUGUUUCUUGUUCUUUUCUUUAUCCAGAUUGGAUACGGUA
rnacentral:lncRNA from 1 species